rnacentral:rRNA from 1 species
AUGCAGUCGAACGGAAAGGCCCAGCUUGCUGGGUGCUCGAGUGGCGAACGGGUGAGUAACACGUGGGUGAUCUGCCUCUAACUUCGGGAUAAGCUUGGGAAACUGGGUCUAAUACCGGAUAGGACAAUCGUUUAGUGUCGGUUGUGGAAAGUUUUUUCGGUUAGGGAUGAGCCCGCGGCCUAUCAGCUUGUUGGUGGGGUAAUGGCCUACCAAGGCGUCGACGGGUAGCCGGCCUGAGAGGGUGGACGGCCACAUUGGGACUGAGAUACGGCCCAGACUCCUACGGGAGGCAGCAGUGGGGAAUAUUGCACAAUGGGCGCAAGCCUGAUGCAGCGACGCCGCGUGGGGGAUGACGGCCUUCGGGUUGUAAACCUCUUUCGACAGGGACGAAGCUUUGGUGACGGUACCUGUAUAAGAAGCACCGGCUAACUACGUGCCAGCAGCCGCGGUAAUACGUAGGGUGCGAGCGUUGUCCGGAAUUACUGGGCGUAAAGAGCUCGUAGGUGGUUUGUCGCGUCGUCUGUGAAAUUCCGGGGCUUAACUUCGGGCGUGCAGGCGAUACGGGCAUAACUUGAGUGCUGUAGGGGAGACUGGAAUUCCUGGUGUAGCGGUGGAAUGCGCAGAUAUCAGGAGGAACACCGAUGGCGAAGGCAGGUCUCUGGGCAGUAACUGACGCUGAGGAGCGAAAGCAUGGGGAGCGAAUAGGAUUAGAUACCCUGGUAGUCCAUGCCGUAAACGGUGGGCGCUAGGUGUA